rnacentral:tmRNA from 1 species
AGCAUGCCGUGCGUUGGAUAAUUAGCACGUAAAUCUGAAUAUUCAAACUUCAAAUGGCAAUACUCAGUAUGCCAUGGCUGCCUAAUCAGUGAUUAAGUAGUCAUUAGGGCCGCCGGGCCGGUUGAUCUGUUACCAUGCCCCGCCGCCGACAUAAAAACAAAACAGGUUGCUAUAAUGGAAGGCUGUGACCAUUAUUUAAGACCAUACAGCUAAGUAUUACAUUGGUUUGUUCAUUUCCUGUGUAGUGCCGACAAUCAAUAAUGAAAUAAGCAUGUAGAAAGCUUUUGAGGAAUAUGUUUGGACAGGGGUUCGAUUCCCCUCGGCUCCACAG